CACCACAGCCUAUAACAGUCUAACACAGUGCAUCAUUGUAAGCUCUAUCACAGAACUGCAAACUAACUACACUAACCUGCAGUCUUUGACUGUCUAAAAUGAGUAUACUUCAAUUAGUUUGACAACACGUGUAGAUUUUAAAACUCUGAAACCAAUUUUAUUACAGCUUUAAAUUUCAUCUCUGAGAUGAAAUUCUCUCUGGGAAGUACACUAAGUUGCUCCAUUUAUUCUCCUCGUCUUUAGUGCGAGGAAGAUGCUGAAGUACCACGACCACAACUUUACAUCUGCACCAUGAACACAUCACAGGGAUGAGAAGGAAAAGGGGACGUGUUAAUGUGUAAAAGCUCUGUGGUGUGUUGUUAUUUUCUUACUACUGAGCAAGUGUCUCCAGGCCAUCACUGGAAGUAACACCAGGCUGAAGCAUAAGAAAAAUGAACUCAUUCCACAAUCAUUUAUUAUUUAUUAACUCAAGGUAGGCUACCAGAAAAUUGUUAAGACCCACUUUAACCCCUGGUUAUGUGCACAAAAUAAUGUGCCUGUGACAAUAAAUAAUGUAAAGAAAACAUAUUAUUAAAGGUCAGUACAACAAAAAAAGAGCGUACUUUUAAAAAGAACAGGGAGAGAUUAUGACAUUUUACAUUUAAGACUUACACCAACGAUCAGCUCAGUUGACUUUGUGAUCUUAACAACAGCCUCUGCAUUUAGGUGGUGAUUUUUAUCCCAUGUGACAAACACUGUAGUAAUCAGAAGAAGUUAAUGUCAUCAAUUCUGGCAAGUUUAUCUGUCAAAAACCUCCACAAAGAAAUCUUGGGCAUCCCCCAGAUUUUGGAUGCAUAGGUCACCCUGUAGCUGAUCAAUGCUUGUGACCACACUGCCUUCAACUUGUGAGGUCUUCAGUUGGUCAGCAAAAUAAGUGCGAUAGCUAAAACGCUCCCAAACAGACACGCACGCACAGGUUCACAGCCUAUCGAUGCUGCGAACACAAGUUUUUGCUGACAGAACUCGUCGAUGGGCCAUUACAGGAUAUCAGCAUAGAUAAACAAGCAGCAGUGGCGUAUCAGGCAACUAAUCCCCUCCCCUGUAUAAUGAGACUGUGUUUGUAUUGAAAUUUGUCCUUUUUUUCUUUUUUCCUUGAAAUGUUUUUAUGUUUCCCUGUGAAGCUUUUUCUGUCCUCAAUUGUUGCCUUAGUGCUGACUGCCAAGCAGAAUCCAUCACGCAGGAACACAAGCCUCCACAACACACUGAUGCUCUCUUUCAAAGUCUUAAUGUACAGCAAAACGAAUUUGGUCCUGUUUUGUCCUUGAGCACGUCAAACCACUUUACAAAAGCAAGCGUUUGUCAUCAGUAUAGAGCGUUCCUUAUCAGCAGGUCUGCGGAAAACUUGUGUGUGUUUUCCGCUCGUUGUCAACAAAUCUGCAGGCAUCCUCAAUAUUUAUGAACAUGCAUCGCUCCAUUUUUUUGUGCUCCAUUUUUCUCCAGUGUAUCUGUCUGUAUAAACAUAUGUAAAUCUAUAAUUGAGUAUAUAACAGUGUUUGAAAAAGAUUCUGCUUUAUUUUAGGGCAUUAAGUUAGUUCUAUAUUUAAAAAAGACAAAAGAAAGAAAGCUCUGUGGUCUGUUGAGUGUUAUUGUGAUAAGAUAUAUGGUGAGGUUAUCCAUGCCUCAUCCUUUGUGUUGCUCUCGAGGUAAGGAGAAGUUUUUAUUUUGGGGAUAACAAUAUUAAAUAUUAAAAUAUGCAUACAUAUAUAUGGCUACGGAAAAUGUGACCAAAUUAUCAAAGUAUAUAUGCACAUAUAUACUUUAUGCUGUACAUCUGUGUAGAUGUAGAAAUGUGUGAUGUUCCUCUGUGAAAUGAAGCAAAUUAAGAUUAAAGAAAAAACAAUUGUGUACAAAUGUAUGUUUCUGAUGUGGUUUUAACCAAUAAAAAUAAAGAAAAUACUGAACAAAAAUGCAAGAUGAGA
ensembl:lncRNA